rnacentral:rRNA from 1 species
GGGUUGUGAGGUUAAGCGACCAAGCGUACACGGUGGAUGCCCUGGCAGUCAGAGGCGAUGAAGGACGUGCUAAUCUGCGAUAAGCGCCGGUAAGGUGAUAUGAACCGUUAUAACCGGCGAUUUCCGAAUGGGGAAACCCAGUGUGACUCGUCACACUAUCAUUAACUGAAUCCAUAUGUUAAUGAGGCGAACCGGGGGAACUGAAACAUCUAAGUACCCCGAGGAAAAGAAAUCAACCGAGAUUCCCCCAGUAGCGGCGAGCGAACGGGGAGGAGCCCAGAGCCUGAAUCAGCAUGUGUGUUAGUGGAAGCGUCUGGAAAGGCGUGCGAUACAGGGUGACAGCCCCGUACACAAAAGCGCAUAUGCUGUGAGCUCGAUGAGUAGGGCGGGACACGUGGUAUCCUGUCUGAAUAUGGGGGGACCAUCCUCCAAGGCUAAAUACUCCUGACUGACCGAUAGUGAACCAGUACCGUGAGGGAAAGGCGAAAAGAACCCCGGCGAGGGGAGUGAAACAGAACCUGAAACCGUGUACGUACAAGCAGUGGGAGCACAGGUUUACCUGUGUGACUGCGUACCUUUUGUAUAAUGGGUCAGCGACUUAUAUUCUGUAGCAAGGUUAACCGCAUAGGGGAGCCGAAGGGAAACCGAGUCUUAAUUGGGCGUUAAGUUGCAGGGUAUAGACCCGAAACCCGGUGAUCUAGCCAUGGGCAGGUUGAAGGUUGGGUAACACUAACUGGAGGACCGAACCGACUAAUGUUGAAAAAUUAGCGGAUGACCUGUGGCUGGGGGUGAAAGGCCAAUCAAACCGGGAGAUAGCUGGUUCUCCCCGAAAGCUAUUUAGGUAGCGCCUCGUGAACUCAUCUCCGGGGGUAGAGCACUGUUUCGGCUAGGGGGCCAUCCCGGCUUACCAACCCGAUGCAAACUGCGAAUACCGGAGAAUGUUAUCACGGGAGAUACACGGCGGGUGCUAACGUCCGUCGUGAAGAGGGAAACAACCCAGACCGCCAGCUAAGGUCCCAAAGUCAUGGUUAAGUGGGAAACGAUGUGGGAAGGCCCAGACAGCCAGGAUGUUGGCUUAGAAGCAGCCAUCAUUUAAAGAAAGCGUAAUAGCUCACUGGUCGAGUCGGCCUGCGCGGAAGAUGUAACGGGGCUAAACCAUGCACCGAAGCUGCGGCAGCGACACUGUGUGUUGUUGGGUAGGGGAGCGUUCUGUAAGCCUG